rnacentral:misc_RNA from 1 species
AAAGUCGUAACAAGGUUUCCGUAGACCUGCGGAAGGAUCAUUAACACGUACCCAGCGUUAAACCCCCCGUGCACACAGCGACCUGCUCCCCUCAAUUUCGGUCUUUUGGCAAUCCCUAAAUCAUCGCCGAACAGUUUUGAUUCAGGGACAUCCAAAGGGCCGGGGUAGGGUAUUAAAGUAGUAGUCAAUGCAAAGCAACCUGGUUUCUUGAAGCAGAAAGUGUGAUGGCGUGAGUCACCGAGUGGUAGUGCAAAGGUGCCUUCUGUCGCGCACUGUGGAAAGGAAGACGCUUUACGAAUCACUGUCCAACACGAGGUAGGGAUACGUCCCUACCACCAAAUAAAUACUUGAACAACUGUUGGCAAUGGAUAUCUUGGUUCUC